rnacentral:rRNA from 1 species
GCAGAGCAUCCUACGGGAGGCAGCAGUGGGAAUAUUGCACAAUGGGCGCAAGCCUGAUGCAGCCAUGCCGCGUGUAUGAAGAAGGCCUUCGGGUUGUAAAGUACUUUCAGCAGUGAGGAAGGUGGGUAUGUUAAUAGCAUACUCAUUUGACGUUAGCUGCAGAAGAAGCACCGGCUAACUCCGUGCCAGCAGCCGCGGUAAUACGGAGGGUGCGAGCGUUAAUCGGAAUUACUGGGCGUAAAGCGCAUGCAGGUGGUUUGUUAAGUCAGAUGUGAAAGCCCGGGGCUCAACCUCGGAAUUGCAUUUGAAACUGGCAAACUAGAGUACUGUAGAGGGGGUAGAAUUUCAGGUGUAGCGGUGAAAUGCGUAGAGAUCUGAAGGAAUACCGGUGGCGAAGGCGGCCCCCUGGACAGAUACUGACACUCAGAUGCGAAAGCGUGGGGAGCAAACAGGAUUAGAUACCCUGGUAG